GUGAAUCAUCAAAUCUUUGAACGCAAAUUGCACUCUCUGGUAUUCCGGAGAGUAUGCCUGUUUGAGGGUCAGUAUAAAUAAAAAUCGCGUUGUUGCUUAUGGUUACGCCAUCGGGAUUGGGUUAUAUUUACUCUUAAUAAAGGUUUAAAGUGACCUAACAUUGAUGAUACCUUGUGCAUCUCAAGACAUACAUAAGACUUUUUUUUUAUCCGUCUGGUGUUUGCCAAUUCUUUAUUAGGUAUGACCAUGAUCGUUUGUGGCAUUU
rnacentral:misc_RNA from 1 species